AAUUAAGCUGUGAACUGGAAUUCCAUCAGGCUGUCUACUGCGAAGCCCCGUGGCUUUAGAAAAGGGGCAGCAGUGUCAGAAAUGACACUCAAAAGCAAAUAAGAUGUAAUCAAUAGAAUUCCAGUUCCUGUGAGAGAGAGAAGAUCUUUUACUUCACACAACCRUCUGAGGAAGUAGCUCCACUGAAGUCUGGGCACUGCUGAUGCACUCUGAAGUCAACAGGAGGGUAAGGUGGCCGUAAAACAGUGUGCAGGACGCUAAACUGGGACUGGAAUCAUCAGCUCUCACUGCAGCCUGGGUGUGAUCUGGAUUCUCUCAGCCUCAGUUUGCUCCUGUGUAAACAGCGAUGAUCUCCUUUGUGAWGUUCUUUGACGCCUGCAGAAGAGUCUCGCUGUAAAAAGACUGGCUUGCUAUUAUGCAYAUCUUCAAAACAAAGCUUAAUGCUCUGAGCUGGGUUGGGUGCGUGUGCUUAGCACUUUGUGUGAUCAGGCUGUAGAUUACGUAGGCAGUGGUUUGUAAUAAGAGCCUUAUCAGUAACAAAAACCCUUCUGUCAUUAUCAGACAAGCAACAAUCGUAUUUUAAAAUGGUUGCCAAAUGUGUUUAUUUGAAGAUGGUUGUUUCUAGCAUGGCUCAAACCAUUGUGUGGCAAGUGUUCAAUUGCUUCCCACUAAAGCCAACAUUUAUAGCUUGGAAAACUCUGUUAGAUAAAUGUCAGUUUCUGCCAUAAUUUGUGGAAUCAAUACAAACUGAGUCAAAGAAUCACAAACAGUAAUGUGAAAAUAAAAUGAUCUGUGUUAUGGUUUUUAAGUAAAUGAUGAUAAACUAAUAAAUGCCAUUAGCUGCUGCCAUUACUUUGUUGAAUUUAGCUGAUGUUACUGUGUUGA